rnacentral:tRNA from 1 species
GGGCCCGUAGCUCAGUUGGUCAGAGCGGCGGACUCAUAAUCCGCUGGUCGGUGGUUCGAGGCCACCCGGGCCCA